AAAGAAAAGAAAAUUUGUCUAAAAACUGGUGAAGGUACUUUGAUAUACAGCAAAGAUGCUGCUGAGCAAGUGCAACACCAUCCUGGAUCUGGCUUCUGCCCUGGAUUCAGUACUUGCAGAGUGUUUGUUUUGUAUGUGAGAACAACUUUUGGCUGGUGUUGAUGAUGAGAUUAUUAUUCUAACCUGACAGGCUCUGAUGGAUAGCUGAGAAAUCACCCUCAAGACUUGUAUGGAAACCAAUCAUCAAAAACUCAUCAUAAAUCUUCUACAAUAGAUUAGGUGACAAGAUGCAAAGUGAGUAAUAUGGCUUUAGAAAUACCAUAUGAAUAAAAAAAGACCAAUUCACACAACCAUGCAUGCCUAACUAGAUGCAAUACAUUGCUAAGAUUAAUGAGAACUGCUGCUGUACGGUUGUAUUGCUUAUGCAAAUAUGAAGAACAAUAUGUGGCUGUAGAUACAUAUUCCAGAUAUUUAUUUUAAAGCUAUUAAAUGAUUUUUAACACUA